AAAGCAUAGUGGCUAAAAGCACUAUGUUGAGUUGAUUGAAGGCCAGCCCUGGGAUGUACUAGCCAUGGGGAUUUUAUCCAGACUCAGUUUCUCAGCUUCUCAACUACAAUGUGAGCAUCAUGGAAUGUUGUGCCGCUGGCAUCCGGAAGGAUAAAAAGAGUGUGAAUCUGUAUGCAAGCCGUUAAGCUCGGUACUUGGUGCUUAUUAUCUGUUCCCUAGAUGGUGCCAUUUGUUGCUGAUGUGAGUGUCCCCCUUUUUAACGGCGAAAGCAUUUUGUACUUGGGUUCUGCUUCCAGAGCUGGAUCAUUCAGUGGCUGUUUGAUUUUUUUUUUUUUAAGGGUGAGAGAAUAGUUUUCUAAAUCCUACGUGUCCCCAACAUCUCCAGGGUCACAUGGAAAGAUGAAAUGUGUUAGAUAUAAGUUUUACACAUCACCAUCUCUCUUAAGCCGCUCAUGCCCCCAGGAGAAGAAACGGGGUGUGGAGGAGUUUAUAAGAUUUGUUCUAGAGCAGGGCAGGGGCUUGGCGAGGAGAAAGGAGCUCAGAGAGAGAAUGAAGACAAGCUGUUUGCAUCCCUAAGUGACCAGGAUCUACCCUCGGACUGACUCUCAGGUGGCUUAUGUAAGAAAAGCUCAUCUUUGGACUCCCGCUUCUCUACAUGGCAUGCAUCUUAGAUUUACGUGGACAAAAGAAGUGGGAGGCAAAGGCUGUUUUACAGAUUUAUGUGGUAGCCCCAGCAGCUAGAUCUGUGGAACUUGACUUUUAUGAGGUGGGAUACCAGAAGAUCCCCUGGGACCUCUUUAAAGUGCUCAAGUUUUUAAUUGCCCUUGCCCUGUCUCCAAUAAUUACUGUGUCGGUAUUAUUUAUCCUAGUAAAAAAUUCAAGCAUUUCUGCAGUCAGUUCCUGUUUGAACUGAGUGAACUCCUUGGCUUAUUCCCCUCCUGUCUACAUUUACCCAGCCUUUUCUCUUUUCAACUGCAGCGUCUCCCACAAGCCACUUGAGUCCACGCUUUUACUUUUUUUUUUUUAAGCUAUUCAUUUAUUUUUGUGGUACAUCCAUGAGUGUCUGUGUGUGUGUGUGUGCACCUGUUCAUGCCUGUGCACAUACCCACAUAUGUAUAUGUGCAUGUGCUUGCUGUAGACCGAGGUGGGUGUCAGAUAUCUUCUUCUAUCAAUCCCAACCCCAUUUGAUACAAGGUCUCUUAUUGAGCCUGGGCUGGCAACCCGCAAGUCCCUGGAAUCAUCCUGUUUCUGCCUCACUCAUAGUGCGAGGGGCACAGACAAACCUGGCUUUUCACAAGGGCUCUCGGGAUUUAAAUUUAGGUUGUCACGCUUGCACAGUAAUUGUCUUUGUCCAUAUGCUUAUACAUCUGCUGGUUAUGAGAAUCAUUUCUUAUGUCUUGAGUGUAAGUUUUAAUAAGUGCUAAGUAGGAACCAGAUUGGUUAGAAGUAAAUACACUUAAAAGCCCACCAAGGUAAGGUGAGUUCUUCCCUGCAGGGGCUGAAACCACAACCUUGGCUCUGCUGUGCAUUGGCUCUUAGAGAACAGUGGUGUGGAUCGUCUCCAGGCUCCUGUGGACCAGUCUCUUCACAGUAGCUCUGGAGCCUGGUGCAGAAGGAUUAGUGUUCCCAGGCAUUACACUAGCUAUCUUUCUACUCACUGUGACAAAACCCCCAACAGACAAAAGGGAGGCCAGGCUUUUAUUUGGUCAUGGUUUCUGAAGGAUUUCAGAUCAUCCUAUCUUGGGAGGUACAUGCAGAGAGGCCCUGUUUUUGAUGGACGUGCUAGGCUGCAGCUUGCACAGAGUGGCAGACCAGGCUGCAGGGUAUGCAGGCUGGGUCUGGGGGUGGGUAUGACCUUCAAAGGUCAGUCCCUACUGUCUGACUCCCACCAGUGAAGCCACUUCCUAAAGGCUUUGUAGCCUUCACAGUAGCUCCACAAGCUGGGGGACACAGGCUGGAAACACAGGUUGGCUGGGAACACCCGGAAGUCUGGUCAACACAGGUACAUCCUUGAAAAACCCUGUUUUCUUUGGCUUUUCAUCCUCUAUACAUGCACCUCCCUGCUUUUCCUGUGUCUGCCAUUGACUGCAGGAAAAUCUACACACUAUAAAAAUAUUCCACCAUAUAGCUUCUCAUGUCUGUAAUAUAUAUUUGUAUUUUUUUUUAAAUAGAAAGGUUGAAACUCUGCAGAACUCUGAGUUUUAUCUCAUCCCAUAAUCUCCUGUAUUGGCAACAAGUUAUUAGGGAGUUGUCAAUCACCUUUGCAAAUUAAAGAGGCAGAAGUAAAUUGCAACUGAACCCAGAGGUAGGGUAAAUCACAUCAAAUGAUUAUGCAGGAAAACAAAAUCCAAUUUGGGCGCUGUAAUUGCUUUCUUUCAGCAGUCCUACUAUGUGGGCUGAUUUUAAUAGAAAAAACGCCAAAGAGGGAUGCGCUUGCUAAGACUUUCCUUCCCGUCCUCACAAUGCAUCUUACCACAGAGGAUACAGGAGCAGAUCUCAUGCUCCUGGUGUCAGUUGUCAGACCUGAUGGUGACUGUUGGAAAGUGGGUGCAGUCAAGCCAGGGCACCCUGCUUUUCCUGAGGAGAGACAGGACCACAGAAGGCCAUUUCUAAUUCCAGUCUAAAUCAUGCAGAGGCUUUGCCAGUACUGUUAAAAAGACAAAGACAGCCAACUCGAGGCAGUUACCCCGUGGUACCGUUGCCUCUUUGACAUAGUUAGAUUGUCCCUAUGGUGCAGUUAACCUCUGUGCAGCAGUUAAGGCACCCCUGUGGUGUGGUUACCCCGAUGGCCCAGUUACCGGGGUGGUAAAGUUGCCCUUGUGGCCUGGUUUCUCCCGUGGCCCAGUUUCAUCCGUGGCGCUUUUAGCUCUGUAGACAUUAUCUUUGUGAUGGACUUGCCCCUGUGGUGCAGUUUGAACAGCCCAAAGCACAGUCACUCACAUCAUCGCCCCGUCCUUUGAUUUGAGGACAUCAAUUUGCACAUGGCUCCGAAAGUGGUAUUUACCAAAAACAUAAACCAUAGCACAAAUGAACUCCUCUGAAGUGAUCAGAUCAUUUCCCGUUAUUUUAUUACCUUCCUAUAAACCAGCAGAUGUGUUUAUUGUCAUAAAGUGUAAACAUGCUGUGCAUGUGGUACCCACAAAUCAGUUAUCUGUCAGUUUUUUUUUUAACUGCUUGUCAAAAUAUUAAUGUCGUGUGCAUGAGAGAAGGUGUGGGUGUUUAUCCCUGUGCUUGGCUAGAGGACCCUAAGCAGCAUGGGAUGACAAUGACUGAGCCAUUGAGACCAAGGCUUUGAGGUGACCUUGGCUUGGAGUCUAAGACCUCCUGAGGGCUCUUGACUAGCAGAAGAAAUUCAGAGGUUGAACUUUUGAGAUUCUAUGCAUUUUCUAUCACAGAUACUAG
rnacentral:lncRNA from 1 species